rnacentral:tRNA from 1 species
GCCCGGUUAGCCCAGCUGGUUAGAGCGCUUCCUUGACGUGGAAGAGGUCAUAGGUUCGAGUCCUUUACCGGGCA